GAUGAACGCUGGCGGCGUGCCUAAUACAUGCAAGUCGAGCGAACAGACGCUGCGCUUGCUGCUCUGACGUUAGCCGCGCACGUGUGUGUCACGCGUGUAUCCCCUACCUAUCAUACUGGGAUAACUUCGGGAAACCGGCGCUAAUCCCGUAUAAUCUAUUGAUCCACAUUGUUCGAUAGUGAAUGACGGUGUUGCUGUCACUUCUCGCUGGAUCCGCGCUUCAUUAGCUAGUUGGUGAGGUAACGGCUUACCAAGGAAACCAUGCGUAGCCGACGUGACAGGGUGAUCGGCCACACUGGAAGUGAGCCACGGUCCAGACGCCUACGGGAGGCAGCAGUAGGCAAUCGGCCGCAGUGGGCGAAAGUCUGACGGAGCAAGGCGGCGUGAGAGAUGAAGGCGUCGGGAUCGGAAAACUCUGCUAUUAGGGAAGAACAGAUGUGUAAGGAAAUGUGCACGUCUUGACGGUAACGAAUCAGAAAGCAACGGCUAACUACGUG
rnacentral:rRNA from 1 species